GUGGGGAAUAUUGGACAAUGGGCGAAAGCCUGAUCCAGCCAUGCCGCGUGUGUGAAGAAGGUCUUCGGAUUGUAAAGCACUUUAAGUUGGGAGGAAGGGCAGUAAGUUAAUACCUUGCUGUUUUGACGUUACCAACAGAAUAAGCACCGGCUAACUUCGUGCCAGCAGCCGCGGUAAUACGAAGGGUGCAAGCGUUAAUCGGAAUUACUGGGCGUAAAGCGCGCGUAGGUGGUUCAGCAAGUUGGAGGUGAAAUCCCCGGGCUCAACCUGGGAACUGCCUCCAAAACUGAAUGACUAGAGUACGGUAGAGGGUAGUGGAAUUUCCUGUGUAGCGGUGAAAUGCGUAGAUAUAGGAAGGAACACCAGUGGCGAAGGCGACUACCUGGACUGAUACUGACACUGAGGUGCGAAAGCGUGGGGAGCAAACAGGAUUAGAAACCCCGGUAGUCC
rnacentral:rRNA from 1 species